CCUACGGGCGGCAGCAGUGGGGGAUAUUGCACAAUGGGCGAAAGCCUGAUGCAGCGACGCCGCGUGAGGGAAGACGGUCUUCGGAUUGUAAACCUCUGUCUGUGGGGAAGAAGAUGACGGUACCCAAAGAGGAAGCCCCGGCUAACUACGUGCCAGCAGCCGUGGUAAUACGCAGGGAGCGAGCGUUGUCCGGAAUUACUGGGUGUAAGGGGAGCGUAGGCGGGGAUGCAAGUUGGAUGUUUAAACUAUCGGCUCAACCGGUAAUUGCAACCAAAACUGCAACUCUUGAGUGAAGUAGAGGCAGGCGGAAUGCGUAGUGUAGCGGUGAAAUGCGUAGAUAUUAGGAAGAACACCGGUGGCGAAGGCAGCCUGCUGGGGUUUAACUGACGCUGAGGCUCGAAAGCGUGGGGAGCGAACAGGAUUAGAUACCCGGGUAGUC
rnacentral:rRNA from 1 species